GAGCAGGCGAGGCUGGGCUGAA
rnacentral:miRNA from 1 species